UACGUAGGGUGCAAGCGUUAAUCGGAAUUACUGGGCGUAAAGCGUGCGCAGGCGGUUAUGUAAGACCGAUGGGAAAUGCCCGGGCUUAACCUGGGAACUGCAUUUGUGACUGCACGGCUGGAGUGCGGCAGAGGGGGAUGGAAUUCCGCGUGUAGCAGUGAAAUGCGUAGAUAUGCGGAGGAACACCGAUGGCGAAGGCAAUCCCCUGGGCCUGCACUGACGCUCAUGCACGAAAGCGUGGGGAGCAAACAGG
rnacentral:rRNA from 1 species